AUUGAACGCUGGCGGCAUGCUUUACACAUGCAAGUCGAACGGUAACAGGCCGCAAGGUGCUGACGAGUGGCGAACGGGUGAGUAAUGCAUCGGAACGUGCCCAGUCGUGGGGGAUAACGCAGCGAAAGCUGCGCUAAUACCGCAUACGAUCUAUGGAUGAAAGCGGGGGACCGUAAGGCCUCGUGCGAUUGGAGCGGCCGAUGUCAGAUUAGGUAGUUGGUGGGGUAAAGGCUCACCAAGCCAACGAUCUGUAGCUGGUCUGAGAGGACGACCAGCCACACUGGGACUGAGACACGGCCCAGACUCCUACGGGAGGCGGCAGUGGGGAAUUUUGGACAAUGGGCGCAAGCCUGAUCCAGCAAUGCCGCGUGCAGGAAGAAGGCCUUCGGGUUGUAAACUGCUUUUGUACGGAACGAAAAGGCUCUGGAUAAUACCUGGGGCUCAUGACGGUACCGUAAGAAUAAGCACCGGCUAACUACGUGCCAGCCGCCGCAGUAACAC
rnacentral:rRNA from 1 species